rnacentral:rRNA from 1 species
CCGCACGGUGAGUAACACGUAUCCAACCUGCCGUCUACUCUUGGCCAGCCUUCUGAAAGGAAGAUUAAUCCAGGAUGGCAUCAUGAGUUCACAUGUCCGCAUGAUUAAAGGUAUUUUCCGGUAGACGAUGGGGAUGCGUUCCAUUAGAUAGUAGGCGGGGUAACGGCCCACCUAGUCAACGAUGGAUAGGGGUUCUGAGAGGAAGGUCCCCCACAUUGGAACUGAGACACGGUCCAA